CCUCCCCAGCCACGUGGAACUACCACUCGGCCCUGAGUGCGGCGAGGACCCUGUUUGUGGAUGUGGAGGAGCGCGGGCCGGAGGCCAUGGACGUGAAGGAGAGGAAGCCUUACCGCUCGCUGACCCGGCGCCGCGACGCCGAGCGCCGCUACACCAGCUCGUCCGCGGACAGCGAGGAGGGCAAAGCCCCGCAGAAAUCCUACAGCUCCAGCGAGACCCUGAAGGCCUACGACCAGGACGCCCGCCUAGCCUAUGGCAGCCGCGUCAAGGACAUUGUGCCGCAGGAGGCCGAGGAAUUCUGCCGCACAGGCCUGUAUCCAUGUGAAAGCUGACCUGUUCUGCCUGUGAGGCUUGAAAAAUGAGCAGUCCCUUUCCCAGCUUAUGGUUAAGGCUCCAACUCUGGCAUCAAACAGACCUAGAUUUGAAUUGUGGCUCUGCCAUUUUUAGUAUUCUCAGCUACUUUACCUGUGCAAAGGGAUAAACAGUACCUAAUAGGUGGUGAGGAUUGAUGAGAACUAUAAAUGAAACACUUGACACCAGUACCUGGCACAGAACAGAUGCUUCAGAAAUGCUGCCUGUUAUUAAUUGUCAUCUCUGGAUCUCACUGAAGAGAAGAGACAAAAUGGUCUCUGAAAGCUUUUCUUUUGCCCCGUCCUGUCCGUAAGUGACAGAGCUCAGUGAGCCCCGGUUGGCUUGGACCUAGCACAUGAGGCUCAGGGAAGGGGCGGCUCCUUGUCUUUGUAAAUAACAAAUAAGCAUUCUCAUCUCACAGGCAGGCAUGUGCGUAGCAGUUUACAAAAUACUCUCCUUCAAAUUAUCACCCUGGAUCCUCAAAAAUCCUUUGAAGGUAGCAGGUCAUAGAU
rnacentral:sRNA from 1 species